AUGAAUUUAGCUAGAAAAUAUGAGGAAAAGGGCAAUGUAACAGAGACCCCCAAACAGGGACAGCACAGUUUAUGGUUUUGCUUGUUGAAGUUGCUUAAUUUCAAUAGGAAACAGAUAUGUUUCCAUUUGGGUCAAUGCCAAUCAAAGAGAUUUACGAGUUUCUGCUAUGGGGGCUGCACCACUUUUGUUCAGCUUUCUAACCGAAUGUUCUCAACAAAAAACAAAGAAUUGGGGGUUGGUGAGUGGUGAUUUGUUUGGUGUCUUGUCUUGCACAUAUGGUGGUGAACACAUAAAAAGGCAGUGGGAAACUAGAACCUACUUUUCCAAAGUGAGUAAUGUGUUGGAGUGAUUGAAUGUGUUGAACAAGGUUUUUUCUUAUUUGGGUCAUGUGAUGGACUUUGGGGGGCACUCUUUUUUAAGUUAUUGGAGCAAGUUUAGUGUUGAACGCAAACUUCAUCUUCACCAACCUUUGAUAUCUGCCAUUUUCUUCUUUCUUUGCUCAGCAUGAUCAUUGCUUGGGCUGAGCAACUCAGACUCAUUUUGCAUGCCUUUGGGACUGACUUCACUCUCUUCAUGCCUCAAAACUGUGUAAGAAGUUUAUGCUAUGCCCUUUUCUUAACCAAUUGCCCUUCCACUAAGCUAAAUAUAGGGUUGCCUAUGCUUUUAACUGCUGCAUAGGAAAACACCCCAAUUAAGUUACCAACAAUGCAAAUUUAGGCUAUUACUAAAUGCCAUGCUAGGCCCAAACCCUUAUAAGCUUUUAAUUUUAAUAUUUAUGGCCACCUAUACACC
rnacentral:lncRNA from 1 species